rnacentral:rRNA from 1 species
GGAUUAUUGGGUUUAAGGGAGCGUAGAUGGAUGUUUAAGUCAGUUGUGAAAGUUUGCGGCUCAACCGUAAAAUUGCAGUUGAUACUGGAUGUCUUGAGCGCAGUUGAGGCAGGCGGAAUUCGUGGUGUAGCGGUGAAAUGCUUAGAUAUCACGAAGAACUCCGAUUGCGAAGGCAGCCUGCUAAGCUGCAACUGACAUUGAGGCUCGAAAGUGUGGGUAUCAAACAGGAUUAGAUACCCUGGUAGUCCACACGGUAAACGAUGAAUACUCGCUGUUUGCGAUAUACGGCAAGCGGCCAAGCGAAAGCGUUAAGUAUUCCACCUGGGGAGUACGCCGGCAACGGUGAAACUCAAAGGAAUUGACGGGGGCCCGCACAAGCGGAGGAACAUGUGGUUUAAUUCGAUGAUACGCGAGGAACCUUACCCGGGCUUAAAUUGCACUCGAAUGAUCCGGAAACGGUUCAGCUAGCAAUAGCGAGUGUGAAGGUGCUGCAUGGUUGUCGUCAGCUCGUGCCGUGAGGUGUCGGCUUAAGUGCCAUAACGAGCGCAACCCUUGUUGUCAGUUACUAACAGGUGAUGCUGAGGACUCUGACAAGGCUGCCAUCGUAAGAUGUGAGGAAGGUGGGGAUGACGUCAAAUCAGCACGGCCCUUACGUCCGGGGCUACACACGUGUUACAAUGGGGGGUACAGAGGGCCGCUACCACGCGAGUGGAUGCCAAUCCCUAAAACCCCUCUCAGUUCGGACUGGAGUCUGCAACCCGACUCCACGAAGCUGGAUUCGCUAGUAAUCGCGCAUCAGCCACGGCGCGGUGAAUACGUUCCCGGGCCUUGUACACACCGCCCGUCAAGCCAUGGGAGCCGGGGGUACCUGAAGUGCGUAACCGCGAGGAUCGCCCUAGGGUAAAACUG